ensembl:lncRNA
AGGACUGAACCAGGACUAAACCAGGACUUAACCAGGACUGAACCAGGACUGAACCAGGACUAAACCAGGACUAAACCAGGACUAAACCAGGUCUAAACCAGGUCUAAACCAGGUCUAAACCAGGACUGAACCAGGACUGAACCAGGUCUAAACCAGGUCUAAACCAGGUCUAAACCAGGACUAAACCAGGUCUAAACCAGGUCUAAACCAGGUCUAAACCAGGACUAAACCAGGACUGAACCAGGUCUAAACCAGGACUGAACCAGGACUGAACCAGGACUAAACCAGGACUAAACCAGGACUAAACCAGGUCUAAACCAGGACUAAACCAGGACUAAACCAGGACUGAACCAGGACUGAACCAGGACUGAACCAGGACUAAACCAGGUCUAAACCAGGUCUAAACCAGGACUAAACCAGGACUGAACCAGGACUGAACCAGGACUGAACCAGGACUGAACCAGGACUGAACCAGGACUGAACCAGGACUGAACCAGGACUAAACCAGGACUGAACCAGGUCUAAACCAGGACUAAACCAGGUCUAAACCAGGUCUAAACCAGGACUAAACCAGGACUGAACCAGGACUAAACCAGGACUAAACCAGGACUAAACCAGGUCUAAACCAGGACUAAACCAGGUCUAAACCAGGACUGAACCAGGACUGAACCAGGACUAAACCAGGAC